UUUCCGUAGGUGAACCUGCGGAGGGAUCAUUGCUGGAACGCGCUUCGGCGCACCCAGAAACCCUUUGUGAACUUAUACCUAUUUGUUGCCUCGGCGUAGGCCGGCCUUUUGUGACAAAGGCCCCCUGGAAACAGGGAGCAGCCCGCCGGCGGCCAACCAAACUCUUGUUUCUAUAGUGAAUCUCUGAGUAAAAACAUAAAUGAAUCAAAACUUUCAACAACGGAUCUCUUGGUUCUGGCAUCGAUGAAGAACGCAGCGAAAUGCGAUAAGUAAUGUGAAUUGCAGAAUUCAGUGAAUCAUCGAAUCUUUGAACGCACAUUGCGCCCUCUGGUAUUCCGGAGGGCAUGCCUGUUCGAGCGUCAUUUCAACCCUCAAGCCUGGCUUGGUGAUGGGGCACUGCCUUCUAACGAGGGCAGGCCCUGAAAUCUAGUGGCGAGCUCGCUAGGACCCCGAGCGUAGUAGUUAUAUCUCGUUCUGGAAGGCCCUGGCGGUGCCCUGCCGUUAAACCCCCAACUUCUGAAAAUUUGACCUCGGAUCAGGUAGGAAUACCCGCUGAACUUAAGCAUAUCAAUA
rnacentral:rRNA from 1 species